rnacentral:lncRNA from 1 species
CCUAAUCAGGUGAGUCCUUUCAAAGGACUCCUUGACAUUGGAAACUCAAAGCAGCAGAAACUCACUGUGGCCUUAAAGAAGCAAGCUGUCAUGAAAUGAAGCUGCAAGGAAAUGAAUUCUGCCACCAGUCUGAAAGAGCUUGGAAGCAGAUCCUUCCCUAGCCAAGCCUCCAUCUGAGGAUGCAGCCCAGCUAACACGUUGAUUUCUGCCCUGUGACACCCUGAGCAGAGAAAUUGGUGAAGCCACCCAGCCUUCUGAUUUAUAGAACUGUGAGAUAAUGAAUGGGUGUUAUUUCAAGCUACUGAGUUUGUGGUAAUUGUUAUUAUGCAGCAUAGAUAAUAUAACUAACAAAACUACAGGUUUUUAUGUGUUGAUCAUAUUUUUUCUUCUUGCCCAUUUUUCCAUUAGUAUUAGCAUUCAUCAUUUUCCUAUUGAUAUUUGAGUUCCUAACACAUUUAGGCUUGUAAGGGUAUCAACCCCUUUGUCAUAAAUAAUAAACUGCCAUUGCAUUUUUGUUGUUGUUGUUUUUGAGACAGAGUCUCUGUCACCUAGGCUGGAGUGCAGUGGUGUGAUCUCAGCUCACUGUACUUCUGCCUCCCGGGCUCAAGCUAUCCUCCUGCCUCAGCUUCCCAAGUAGGUGGGACUGCAGGUGUGCGCCACCAUGCCAGGCUAUUUUUUGUGGUGGCUAAUUUUUGUAUUUUUUUAAGAGAUGGGGUUUUGCCAUGUUGCCCAGGCUGGUCUUGAACCCCCGGACUCAAGUGAUCCACCCCCACCUUGGCCUUGCAAAGUGCUGGGAUUACAGGUGUAAGCCACCCUGCCUGACCAGCCAUUGCAUUUUUUUUUUCUUUUUCUUUUUUUUCGAGAUGGCAUCUUGGUCUGUCACCCAGGCCAAGUGCAGUGGCAUGAUCUCUGCUCACUGCAACCUCCGCCUCCAGGGUUCAAGCAAUUCUCCUGUUUCAGCCUCCCGAGUAGCUGGGAUUAAAGGCGUGCACCACAAUGCCCAGCUAAUUUUUGUAUUUUUAGUAGAGACAGGGUUUCACCAUGUUGGCCAGGCUGGUCUCAAACUCCUGAACUCAAAUGAUCCACCCGUCUCAGCCUCCCAAAGUGCUGGGAUUAGAGGCAUGAGCCACUGCACCCGGCCGCAGAGAACCAGUUCUUGAACAUUUAUUAGCACCUACUGGUGGAGUGCAUGUACCUGUGCUGACUGGUCUAAACCAAUAAGAG